GUACUUACAGGACAAUGAGAUAGCAGAGCUACCAGCUGGACUCUUUAGUAACAACAGGAAGUUGACUGAACUGUACUUAAAUGGAAAUCAAAUCAAGAAGCUACCAGCUGGAGUCUUCAAUAACGACUCCGAAUUGACUGAACUGUCCUUACAUGACAAUCAGAUAGCAGAGCUAGCACCCGGAGCCUUCCAUACCAACUUCAAGUUGAUAAAUCUGUAAGUUA